AAGACAAGCGCACUAAUUCAAAGUCCCCGGAUGAAGAAACGGAAGUUUCGUCAGUUGGACAGGAUGUUUGGGUUUCAAAGUUCAUCCUGUGUCUGCCUCUAAAAAAACAUAAAUUUGUCAACACGUCAACAAGUGCAUGACAAUGUCAAGGGGCAGAGGGAAUAAAAUUACAUGACUGCACUUAAAUUGCGAAUGGAGGAUGUUUUCCCAUGUUUCAUAUUGAUGCCAGCCAGGUGAUAUUAGCUAUGCAUCUGGCUCUUCAAAUUGCCCAAAAAGCUUGAGAUGUCAAGCGCAAUAUGUGACCUACAAGGGAACUGUGUCUGACUACCCUUGUCAGCUGUAGUUUGACUCCUCCCACUGCUUCAAGAAAAACGCUGCAGGUCGACAGGGUUAUCUGUUAUCUUCCAGUGCUCUCUCUUCUCUCCAGACUUCUGCAUCCAGAAGGUCGGUACCACAUUACAAAGUAUGGCCACCUCAGCCCUUUUUUGCUGGGCUGCUCGGUGAAUCAAUGCUCCAAGACAGGCAAAGCCCCAGUAGCCUGUGGAGAGACCUAACUUAACGACACCUGGAUGACACCAUAUCCAUGAUGGAACUUCCUCAGAGGGCCAGGGUGUAUGGCCCAAUAAUCUUGCCUUCCUGCUGAAGUGCGCAUUCAUUCACUCCUUCCCACAAAUCGAAAAGCAUUGGAUUGUUGUUUGCCUGGGAUAUUGGGAGUUUCCAUAUUUAUAGUGAUAAUUCCCAAGAAGCCGUUGUUUGUUGGAUAUGUUGGCACGGUGUUGUUAGGCCCGAGACCAAAUCGAGGACUGGCAAACCAUGCCAAUAUAUCCAACAAACACCAGCUUCGAGGGCAUUAUCACUUGUACAUGGGUUACCAACAUAUUCAAAUAAUGAUCGACAUUUUCAUUAAAAACUUUAUUUUUAUACA